CAAAAUCAAAUUGUAUAUGAAUUGUAUGGAAUCGAAUUAAAUUGUAUUUUUAUAUAAUAAAAUAGAUAUUUAAAUUGUAUUGCAAAAUUGAAUAUGUAAGAUUGAAAUUUGGUUUAAGGAAAUACUAAAUUAAAUACUGAAAAGUAUAUGAAUUAUUAUUUAAAAUUUAAAUAUCAUCAAUAAGAUGGAUGUAGUCUAUAGAAUUAAAACAGUUUAUUAAGAUAAAAUAGAUAGUUCAAAUGUAGAAUAAUUGCUGAGAAUGCCCUUUUCACACUACCUUUUUCAGUUAUACCCUUUCAUAUUUGACAUUUUCAUUUCUACUUUCAGUAAAUUUUUAAUGACUAUUUUACCCUUAUUUGGAAAUUGUUUUUUGCCUAAAAUAUUCCAAAUAAAUUUCCUGCCAAUAAAAUACCAUAGUUUUU
rnacentral:sRNA from 1 species